UUCUUUCUUAGUCAUGAAGUAAGGAUGGGGGUGGAUAAAAUAAUUUAGGGUUGGGUUCUAAAUUUUUCAGUUAUUUGAAGAAAGGUCUCUUUAGUGUUCAUGAGCUUCUCCCGGCAACUCAUCGGAACUCUACCGGGAUCUGGCGUGUCCACCACCCAAUUAUCCCCCAUUUCGCCUUCCUUCUCUCUUUCCGUUUCCGGCCAGCAACCAUCACCUCCAAACACCCAUUUUACUCUUCUAUUCGCCUGAAUCACCACCAGCAGCCGUUCCUCAAUCACCUUUCAAAACCCAUCGGAGAAACAACCAACUCACAACCCAUAACACUACCAACAAAAAACUGACCCGUCAAACCAGACCCAUUCCCACUUGAAGUAGCCACCAGUAAACAACAACCACGAAAAUCAGCAGACCCAACACCUCAUUAUUAAACCACCAUUUUUUCUCACAAGAACAGCCACCAAACAACCCAAAACUUGUUUGAAAACAACCAUCAUAUAAGAACCAUAAACAAGUUAUCAGUUAGAUUUCAGCUCCGGCGGAGACAAGCUAUGAGCUUUGAAAUCAGCGACAACAACCUCUGUGUCCGUCAAUGUCUGGUUAUCUUUUGAUCGAAGAAUGACUCUUUCCCACGCCUAUUUCUUGUCCCGGCCCUGUAGUGGAGCUUGCCCGCCAUAGGCCUAUUGAGAUCUUUCCCUGUGCGGGUAAAUUUGGGCUCAGGAGGGGAAUACCCGGUUGAUCGAAACUUCAACCAGAAGAGGUAGGCUCGAGUUUCUAGUAGGAGAAAUCUCUACUUCUGUUUUGUAGGCAUUUCCAUUUUAAAAGUUUGAAAUUUAGUUUAAAUUUAUAUAUUUGUAGUUGAUUAUUGGAUGAAGAAAUUACUGUCUAUUUCCUAGGCCUCCAUGUUAAUAAGACGGAUUUUAAUUUUUAAGUUAUUAUUUGAGUUAUUCAUUUUUAUUAAUAUUUAUUUAGCACUAACACUUUUAUUACGUGUCUUUAUAUGUAAAUGAAGUUGCUUUCCAUUGGA